GUCAGUCCGACGGCGCAGCUCUGGGGGCUCGCAGGGCUGGGGGAGGGCGGGGACGCGAGCGCUGUGCCGCUCACCCCGGGUUGACGCGCCCUCGCCCCUCCCCCGCCGUCUCCACCCUCCUCCCGGAGAACAGCUCUUAAAAACCUUGAGAGAGGCAGAAGAACUAGGAAGAGAGAAAAGUAAAAGAAAGUCCUCAGAAGAAAGAAAUGGACAGGCACCAAGGGUGCAGCUUUGAAACGUAUGCUCAGCGGACCAGUGAAGACCUCUGGCUCAACAGAGAAAAAUGGAGCUUUGCUCUCCAGACGUUACCCUGAAGAACCAACGAUCACUGCCGUCUGAUUUUUACACACUCCGUACCACUGUUGCAGCCUGUGACUCUGAGGUGCCAACUUGGCCAGCCCAGAGAGGUAAUUU